rnacentral:rRNA from 1 species
UACGUAGGUGGCAAGCGUUGUUCGGAAUUACUGGGCGUAAAGGGUUCGUAGGUGGCCUGCUAAGUCGGACGUGAAAUCCCUCGGCUCAACCGGGGAACUGCGUCCGAUACUGGUGGGCUCGAGUGCAGGAGAGGAACGCGGAAUUCCAGGUGUAGCGGUGAAAUGCGUAGAUAUCUGGAGGAACACCGGUGGCGAAGGCGGCGUUCUGGACUGCAACUGACACUGAGGAACGAAAGCCAGGGAGCAAACGGG